rnacentral:rRNA from 1 species
AACGAACGCUGGCGGCAGGCUUAACACAUGCAAGUCGAGCGCCCCGCAAGGGGAGCGGCAGACGGGUGAGUAACGCGUGGGAACAUACCCUUUCCUGCGGAAUAGCUCCGGGAAACUGGAAUUAAUAACGCAUACGCACUACGGGGGAAAGAUUUAUCGGGGAAGGAUUGGCCCGGGUGGGAUUAGCUAGUUGGUGGGGUAAAGGCCUACCAAGGCGACGAUCCAUAGCUGGUCUGAGAGGAUGAUCAGCCACAUUGGGACUGAGACACGGCCCAAACUCCUACGGGAGGCAGCAGUGGGGAAUAUUGGACAAUGGGCGCAAGCCUGAUCCAGCCAUGCCGCGUGAGUGAUGAAGGCCUUAGGGUUGUAAAGCUCUUUCACCGGAGAAGAUAAUGACGGUAUCCGGAGAAGAAGCCCCGGCUAACUUCGUGCCAGCCGCCGCCGUAA